AAUCAACGCUGGCGGCGUGCCUAACACAUGCAAGUCGAGCGCGAAAGGGGAGCAAUCCCCUAGUAGAGCGGCGAACGGGUGAGUAACGCGUGGGUGAUCUACCUCCGAGUGGGGAAUAACCCCGGGAAACUGGGGCUAAUACCGCAUGACAUCCCUGAGUCACAUCGGGGAUCAAAGCCGGGGACCGCAAGGCCUGGCGUUUGGAGAUGAGCCCGCGUCCGAUUAGCUAGUUGGCGGGGUAACGGCCCACCAAGGCUUCGAUCGGUAGCCGGCCUGAGAGGGCGGACGGCCACACUGGGACUGAGACACGGCCCAGACUCCUACGGGAGGCAGCAGUGGGGAAUUUUUCGCAAGUGGGGAAACCCUGACGAAGCAACGCCGCGUGGAGGAUGAAGG
rnacentral:rRNA from 1 species